rnacentral:sRNA from 1 species
CCAUUGCUGAUGCCAUUGCCUGCUGCUGCUCUGCAUCGAUCGAUCCGUCUUAGAGCUACCGUGCUGCUAAUUAAGCUAUGUAUGUAUGUAUACCUCGUUCGUACCCACUCUGCUUUGGCUUUGGAGCUAGCUAGAUUAUUAGACAAGAAUAAUACUAUAUGGUACUGGAAAUAAUAAUUAUUAAUUGUACGUAUGUAGUAUGUAUAGCACCAGCAGCAUGCGGCUGGUAGUGGCGAUCGAGAAGAGAGAGCUGGAUAAUACUACAUUCAUUCAUGACU